rnacentral:rRNA from 1 species
AGAUUAAGUUAUUAAGGGCGCACGGUGGAUGCCUUGGCACUAGAAGCCGAUGAAGGACGUUACUAACGACGAUAUGCUUUGGGGAGCUGUAAGUAAGCUUUGAUCCAGAGAUUUCCGAAUGGGGAAACCCAGCAUGAGUUAUGUCAUGUUAUCGAUAUGUGAAUACAUAGCAUAUCAGAAGGCACACCCGGAGAACUGAAACAUCUUAGUACCCGGAGGAAGAGAAAGAAAAUUCGAUUCCCUUAGUAGCGGCGA